rnacentral:rRNA from 1 species
UACGAAGGGGACUAGCGUUGUUCGGAAUUACUGGGCGUAAAGCGUGCGCAGGCGGUUUUGUAAGUCAGAUGUGAAAUCCCCGGGCUUAACCUGGGAACUGCGUUUCUAACUGGCAGGCUUGAGUGUGGCAGAGGGGGGUGGAAUUCCACGUGUAGCAGUGAAAUGCGUAGAGAUGUGGAGGAACACCGAUGGCGAAGGCAGCCCCCUGGGCUAACACUGACGCUCAUGCACGAAAGCGUGGGGAGCAAACAGG